UACGUAGGGUGCAAGCGUUAAUCGGAAUUACUGGGCGUAAAGCGUGCGCAGGCGGUUGUGCAAGACAGAUGUGAAAUCCCCGGGCUCAACCUGGGAACUGCAUUUGUGACUGCACGGCUGGAGUGCGGCAGAGGGGGGAUGGAAUUCCGCGUGUAGCAGUGAAAUGCGUAGAUAUGCGGAGGAACACCGAUGGCGAAGGCAGCCCCCCUGGGCUAACACUGACGC
rnacentral:rRNA from 1 species